GGCCACAUCGUGUUGAAACACCAGUUCCUGUAUGAUCACUGAAGUUAAGCAACAUCAAGCCUGGCCAUUACAUAUAGGGAUGACCUCCUGGGAAUACCAGGUGCUGUAAG